CAUCUUCGCCUGGGGUAAUUGCUGCCUUAGAGGGAAAGUGAGCCACAGGAGAAAGUUCCAGAGAGAAUCGUGCUCUCUCAGUCAUUAGAGGCUUGGGAUAAAUUUUGGCAUCUGUUGAAUUACCUACUUCUUAAGAGCUGAGGUGUAUUUUUAUUCCCAGGGAUGUCCUGGGGUAGGCAUUUAAGGAAUGUUUAUUGAACAGAAUAGAAAACUCUUCACACACUGCUCUGGAGGGAAUCAUUCUUUUACAUUAUAUUGGAAGAUAAAAUGUGGCCCCACCCACAACUUCUGAAUCUUGUGCACUCUGAUGAUGUGAGCUGACACAGGAGCACACCAUGUCUGUGAGCCGACACAGGAGCACACCAUGUCUGUGAGCCGACUCAGGAGCACACCAUGUUUGUGAGCCGACGGAUGCUGCUGGGAACUAGGACACAGGCCCUUGUUUGGCCCUCACAGUGUACACAGGUACUGUACGAAACAACCCCCUUUCUUCUUUCCUGACCGCUUAUUUUACUUGUCCAGUAUUUCUCUGGAGAAGGCUGUACUCUAGUCUGGUCACUAGUUUUGUUAUGCAAUCCAGCGAGAUGGGCAAUCGCUUCAUUGUUUAGUUAUAACCCAGGAAAGGAGGAAAAAAAAGAGAAAGCCCAGAACACAUAUGUGAACCCUGGUAGGGACUGUACAACGAUAAUGGAAACCAUUUGUUGGCCUCUCUCUCCUUUCUGUGUGAUUAGCCAGAUUCCUGGAACCAGGCCUGUCUGCUAAGAGAACUGCACCUCGAAGGCCUUCCACACAUGCCCCAUGCCUGGGCUAUGGAGUGUUACUCAGGUCUCAGGAAGCUAAAGGAAAAAAGUGAGCAACAAGCUGCCUCAUGCUUUGGCUACCACGACAUCCCUGCCCUGAUGAAACUGCAUCUUGAAAGCAAACUCUUCCUCCCUUAAGUUGCUUCUGUCAGAGCAUCGAGGAAUGUAACCAAGCCAACCACUAGCCAGGCAACAUGGCUACUUUAAACAUUUUGCCACUACUAUUUCCAACUCUACCAUCAACAACUCCAUCACAGUUAGAUCACCACUGUCAUGACUAUCAUCACUAUCUCCUGAAAAUGAAGAAGCCUUUGAAUCUAUCAGAGUCUGAUAGCCUUCUCUUGGGCCAGCUAUCAGAGUCAGUUCCUGAGGUUGAAGCAGAGACUCAUCCUGUCAUGCAACACCUGCUGGUACACAACACCCUGAUCCCACAUCUGACCAACUCAAAGGAGUCAAGGUUGCUGUGGUGGAGUGUUGAUUUCUGCUUCAGUGACAUGGGUAAUGGGUACGUUGGAUUUUGUAUAUUUUCUUUUCUUAAAUUUACCCAAUUUCUAAACAAAU